AGAGGACUGAAAAUCCUCGUGUCACCAGUUC
rnacentral:tRNA from 2 species